rnacentral:ncRNA from 1 species
UUCGGAUCGCCCGAAUUAAUAGGGGUCAUCAUCACUUUGUCGUAGUUAAUUUUGAGUUAACUGAAAUAAAUGCUAAAAACAACAAACAGGAAAACCGGAGGUUGCUCCCGGUUGCAAGAAAUAAAAUUGACGCGGAUAUCGCACUUAUACUUGGGAAUUUAUCAGUAUCUAUACAUCUCUCCGGCAAAGCUCGAAAAAUCGAUAU